rnacentral:rRNA from 1 species
UUGAACGCUGGCGGCAGGCCUAACACCUGCAAGUCGAGCGGAUGAAGGGAGCUUGCUCCUGGAUUCAGCGGCGGACGGGUGAGUAAUGCCUAGGAAUCUGCCUGGUAGUGGGGGAUAACGUCCGGAAACGGGCGCUAAUACCGCAUACGUCCUGAGGGAGAAAGUGGGGGAUCUUCGGACCUCACGCUAUCAGAUGAGCCUAGGUCGGAUUAGCUAGUUGGUGGGGUAAAGGCCUACCAAGGCGACGACCCGUAACUGGUCUGAGAGGAUGAUCAGUCACACUGGAACUGAGACACGGUCCAGACUCCUACGGGAGGCAGCAGUGGGGAAUAUUGGACAAUGGGCGAAAGCCUGAUCCAGCCAUGCCGCGUGUGUGAAGAAGGUCUUCGGAUUGUAAAGCACUUUAAGUUGGGAGGAAGGGCAGUAAGUUAAUACCUUGCUGUUUUGACGUUACCAACAGAAUAAGCACCGGCUAACUUCGUG